rnacentral:lncRNA from 1 species
AGGAGGUGGAGGUGAUGCAUAGAUGUAAACGGGUGGUGGUGGCGGUGGAGAUUUGUAGUGGUAGACGGGAGGUGGGUGGUAUGGCUUCACCGGAGUCGGGGGUGGGUGGUAGUGUCUAAUGGGGGGCGGUGGAGGAGGAGACUUGUAGUGGUAAGGUGGAUGGUAUGGUUUUUUGUAAGGUGGUGGAGGUGGAGGAGAUUUGUAUUUAUAGACAGGAGGAGGAGGUGGUGGAGAUUUGUAGUGGUACGGUGGGUGGUAUGGUUUUUUGUAUGGUGGUGGUGGAGGAGGAGACUUGUAUUUGUAGACUGGUGGUGGGGGCGAUGGGGACUUGUAAUGAUACGGUGGGUGGUAUGGUUUUUUGUAUGGUGGUGGUGGAGGAGGAGAUUUGUAUUUGUAGACGGGUGGUGGGGGUGGUGGAGACUUGUAGUGGUACGGUGGGUGAUAUGGUUUUUUGUAUGGUGGUGGCGGAGGAGGAGAUUUGUAUUUGUAGACAGGAGGUGGAGGUGGUGGAGACUUAUAGUGGUACGGUGGGUGAUAUGGUUUUUUGUGUGGUGGUGGUGGGGGGGGAGAUUUGUAUUUGUAUACUGGUGGUGGUGGAGAUUUGUACUUGUAAAUGGGUGUAGGUGGGUGGUAUGGCUUCUUAUAUGGUGGUGGAGGAGGUGGUGACUUGUAUUUGUAGACGGGUGGUGGUGGAGACUUGUACUUGUAAACUGGUGUAGGUGGGUGGUAUGGCUUCUUGUAGGGUGGUGGUGGAGGUGGUGACUUGUAUUUAUAAAUCGGUGGUGGCGGAGAUUUGUAUUUGUAAAUGGGUGUUGGUGGGUGGUAUGGCUUCUUGUAAGGUGGUGGUGGCGGAGGUGACUUGUACUUAUAGACGGGUGGUGGUGGAGAUUUGUACUUAUAAAUGGGUGUGGGGGGAUGAUAUGGCUUCUUGUAGGGUGGUGGAGGAGAUUUAUAUUUGUAAACUGGUGGUGGUGGAGACUUAUACUUGUAAAUGGGUGUUGGUGGGUGGUACGGUUUUUUGUACGGUGGUGGUGGUGGUGGUGACUUAUACUUGUAAACAGGUGGAGGUGGAGAUUUGUGGUGAUGAGGUGGGUGAUAUGGUUUCUUGUACGGUGGUGGAGGUGGAGGAGACUUGUAUUUGUACACCGGAGGAGGUGGUGGUGGUGAUUUAUAGUGGUAAGGUGGGUGGUAAGGCUUUUUGUAGGGAGGAGGAGGUGGGGAAGAAUAGAGAUACUGAUUAGCAUCGGAAGGCAGAGUUAAAGAGAGAAAUGUUGCCAAAAGAGCAAUGGCCAAAGAGGCCAUUGAGGAACCUCUUUUCCCCAUCUUUG